GGGGGUGAAAUGGUUUCGACAGGGAAUCCGAGGAGUAAUAAGCGAGCCGUGUUUUUCCACCUGGGGUACACGUUAAAGAACUGGGUGACCUAAAACAAACGCAAACGAUAAAUUUGCUUACGCUGCCUAAUUAGCAGCAGUUCUGCCCAUGGCCUUUCUCUCUUGCCGCCGGGGUACGAACAACCUUUGCAAGGGACAAACUUUAGAAGCGUCCUAUUCUAAAGGGGUAAUCAAGGACUAGUCUCAGCCAUGUGGAUGGUCACUAACCGGUGGUUGGGGCGAAAUUUAAAAAAGUGACUGCGCUCGGAGAAAGUUGCUUUUAUGGUUUCUUGGACGAGGGUUCGACUCCCUCCACCUCCACCA
rnacentral:tmRNA from 1 species